rnacentral:lncRNA from 1 species
GCAAGACAGAUGGGACUUUCAAAAUGAAAUGUACCUAUGACUGUUUGCUACUAUAUAUAUAAAAUGUCUCAUUUAGUCUCAUCUGUGAUUUUCCAAGAGGAAAAUGUUUCCAGGAGCCAUUUAUCUCAGUCCUGCAGGGUGAGCUCUACAGGCAUCAGAGGAAACCGCUGUACCAUUAAACUCGGGGCUGACGAAAACAGCCACCCCUCCAGCAGAAAUGGGGACCCCAUCUUCAUUUCAUAAAUCUUCCCCAAAUAUGCCAAAGCCAGGAACUGACUGUCUGUCACAUCAAUGGCCCAAAGCCUGGGUGCGUCAGCGCAGUGUGUUCAAAGGGGAUCAAGAGUAUCUAUCUGGCAACAACUUUGGGAGCAGGGAGGCAAUUAUAACUGACAUCCAGAUGUCUGGCGGGGUGGAUGCUACUUCCCUGUAAGAAUGCCCAUGGCCUGGAGACAUUUACAACUGAGCAGUGAGUCCAAGACGUGACAGACAGAUCGAUGAUGGCAUCACAAACCAUCAGCGUGAACCAAAAAAAAGUUGCCUGGACUGAUAAAGACUUCAGAUGUCAGGAGUUGCAACAAAGUUCCUUCUCUCCACCUCCUCCAUCAGCCGCCCCGCCCCGCCUCCUCACCAGCGAGCUUGUUAGUGGUUGAGGGCCCAGCAGGAAAUGUUUUGACACCCAGUGCCAAACAUCAAUCCAUCACUGGAACCUUAAUAUGCUUAAGUGUUUAGAUUAUGGAGGCAAGCGGGGUUCCAACAGAAACCCCCUGCUUGCUUGUGGAAUAUGGAGACGCUAUCACUUGACUCUCUACUACCUGCACUGUUCUUCUUUCUUAGUCAAAGAGUAUCCUAAAAGAAGAUAUUAAGAUUCAAAUGUAAAGGAAAUUUAAUUAUGAUGAAAGCAACACUCAACAUGAAGCUGUUUUUCUUUAUUUGUGAACGUUAGAAAAUGGAAAGUGUUCUUGCUAAAACAUAUGUGUAUAUAUGUGACUGUAUGAAAAUAUAAGUAAGUAAAUGUAUGCGAAU